AUGAUCCACACAAACUAAGGGAAAGCUCAAAGAUGGUCUUCAAACCUCAGAUACUUGGACUUCUGCUUUUCUGGAUUUCAGCCUCCAGAGGUGAUAUUUUGCUAACUCAGUCUCCAGCCACCCUGUCUGUGACUCCAGGAGAUAGAGUCAGUCUUUCUUGCAGGGCCAGCCAAAGUAUUAGCAACAACCUACACUGGUAUCAACAAAAAUCACAUGACUCUCCAAGGCUUCUCAUUAGGCAUGCUUCCCAGUCCAUCUCUGGGAUCCCCUCCAGGUUCAGUGGCAGUGGAUCAGGGACAGAUUUCACUCUCAGUAUCAACAGUGUGGAGACCGAAGAUUUUGGAAUGUAUUUCUGUCAACAGAGUAACAGCUGGCCUCACACAGUGAUGCAGACCAUAGCAAAAAUCACCAGGAAAGCAGAAGUGUGA